GCCCGUAUAGCUCAGUGGUAGAGCGCAUCACUCGUACUACAUCGCGAUAGUGAUGAUGAGGUCCUCGGUUCGAUCCCGAGUGUGGGCA